UACGAAGGGUGCAAGCGUUACUCGGAAUUACUGGGCGUAAAGGGCGCGUAGGCGGUUCGCUAAGUUGAAUGUGAAAACUCUGGGCUUAACCCAGAGCCUGCAUUCAAUACUGGCGGGCUAGAGUUCUGGAGGGGAUAGCGGAAUUCCUGGUGUAGCGGUGAAAUGCGUAGAUAUCAGGAGGAACACCGGUGGCGAAGGCGGCUAUCUGGACAGAGUCUGACGCUGAGGCGCGAAAGCUAGGGGAGCAAACAGG
rnacentral:rRNA from 1 species